UACGAAGGGUGCAAGCGUUACUCGGAAUUACUGGGCGUAAAGCGUGCGUAGGUGGUUUGUUAAGUCUGUUGUGAAAGCCCCGGGCUCAACCUGGGAAUUGGCAAUGGAUACUGGCAGGCUAGAGUGCGGUAGAGGGUAGUGGAAUUCCCGGUGUAGCGGUGAAAUGCGCAGAUAGUCGGGAGGAACACCGGUGGCGAAGGCGGUUCUCUGGGCCUGUACUGACGCUGGAGGAGCGAAAGCGUGGGGGAGCGAACAGG
rnacentral:rRNA from 1 species